CUAGGCUACGGUGAUAUGUAUCCAGAGACAUGGUCGGGCAUGGUCGUGGGCGCGUUGUGCGCCUUGGCGGGUGUGCUGACGAUAGCCAUGCCUGUACCUGUCAUCGUCAAUAAC